GCUCCUACACCUAGAUUAUAUCACUUAGCAUGCAUUUGCAAUCAAUGGAAAUCUUGACCUUUGGCUUUUGUUUUUCUUCUGCAUUUUACUUUCCUCUAUGGGCUCUAUCUCUGCAGUUUCUCUUCUGUACGCCUCUUUUCUCUCUCUUCUUUCCUGUUCAUUUUCUCUACAACCAUCAACAAUGAGCCUUAUUGGGUCAUCGGAAACUUAAUUUUCUUUAUUUCUUCUGUAUAUUUUUUAAUUCCUCUUUCCUAUUUCUUAAUAGCCUACAUUGCUGUAGCACCUUCUGAGCUUUCUCAUCUCCAUCAAAUGCAGCUUCUAAUCUAAGUUGGAUUUUUUAAGCGAUGGUUAAUCAAAUUAGUUGUAACCACUGAUCAACGCAAUUUUGCCAGCCUGUCCUCCACGGUCACUCAGCACCCUCAAACUCCGAGAGACUGAGGAAUGGAAGGAAAAAUAGCCGCUGAACGAGGAGAUAGAAAACGGAUCUCGAACGAGGGUGAAGGUCAAAUGAUCGAUUAAUUUUUUUUUGUGUUUUGUUACCUGUCAAUUGCUAAUUUUUAUUGGGGUUCGAUUGAUUGAGUGUUAGAUGUUAAUUUUGCAAAUAUGUUCUAAAUUUGUUAAUUUAUUUUGAUAGAAUUAAACUGCUAAAUUACUAAUAGUUUAGAUUUUGUGUUGUGCUUUUAGAUGAUUUUAAUUUAUUCUGUAUUGUUAUAUUCUCUGCCGCUCUUCUUAUCAGCAAUUCAAACCAACUCGCAAAACGAAUCUGGCUAUUAUAUGAUUUAUAUCGAAUGAGGCGAUAAGGUUCAUCUUCUUCUUCUUUCUUUUUUUUUUUUGGGAUUUUUUUGAGGAGUUUUUGAAUUCCUAUCUGCUGUGGUGGUAUUGAUUGCAUUUUUUGUGUGUGUGUGUGUGUGGGGUUUUAAUUCUUAUAUUGGGAAUUUUUUUGUUAGAGUUCUUCUGAAAUCCGAAUUGAUUCAAGGAUUGCGGUGCGCUUGGUGGGUGGUACUAUACUAAGCUGCGUGUUUGCGUUCUAACUCACCUAAGGGCAUUCAGAUCUGAUACUCCCAGCAGCAAGUCUGCAACAACUACACCUAGAGUUUUCAUAUUAGGCAAGGCAUGAUCACUUAAAUCAGAUGCUGGUUCACCUUCUCCUGUUUUGCCACUCGAUUUUCGGCACCGAAAACCGAGAAGGCCUUUUUGAAGCAGCCUAGAGUGUUUCUGAGCUUGAAGAAAAUUGAAAAGGAAAAGCGACCCUAGAAAAGAGGAAACAGGCUCUAGAAGUGCAUUAGUUUGUCUUUCAAGACUCCCAGAGAAGCUAUUGAAGGUUAUUUCUUUUCAUUUUUUAAGGUUGAGUUUAAGUAUGUUAAUAUGAAGUGAAUGUGUUAGUUUACUCCUAGAGAAGCUAUUGAAAGUUCUUUUUAGGUUGAGUUUAAGUAUGUUAAAAUGAAGUGAAUGUAUUAGUUUUUAAAUGGUCGCUGGAAUGGCGACUCUGGUAUUGAUGACCUUUCAUAUCCUUGAUAAACUAAUUUACCUCUGAUUUCAUAUCCUGGAAUUGAUUACCUUAUUUGAUAAACUGAUUUGCAUAGCUGAACUUUUAAAAAAAUUAAAAGUACCAUUGUAGAGUUAUCUCUGAUUUCUGCAUCUCCGAGGUUACUCCUGUAUAUGGAUGAUCAGUCAUGGACUACUGCCAAUCCUUUUGAUUGUCUCUGGCUCCGGUUCCUUAAAGCUUGUGGUCUCUGAGUUUCGUGUUGCUCCUUAAAGCUUGUGGUUUUCAUGUUACUUCCACUAAAAUAGUGAAUCUAGAGUCUUCUACUUGAAGAUAAAGGGAGAUUAUCAUCGUUAUAUGGCUGAGUUUAAAUCUAGUGAUGGAAGGAAAACUGCUACUGAAGAUACUAUGAAUGCUUACUAAGCUACUCAAGUUUGUGUGUUUUUAGUUCUCUUCAAUUUUUUCAAUUUUGUGCCUUUUUUUAGGGUUUAGAGGUUUGAUUUUGCAAAGAUCUGUUUGAAUUGAUUUUGACCUAAAAGUUUUGUUUCAAUUUGUAUUUG